AUUGAACGCUGGCGGCAUGCUUUACACAUGCAAGUCGAACGGUAACAGGUCUUCGGAUACUGACGAGUGGCGAACGGGUGAGUAAUGCAUCGGAACGUGCCCAGUCGUGGGGGGUAACGCAGCGAAAGCUGUGCUAAUACCGCAUACGAUCUAUGGAUGAAAGCGGGGGACCGUAAGGCCUCGCGCGAUUGGAGCGGCCGAUGUCAGAUUAGCUAGUUGGUGGGGUAAAGGCCCACCAAGGCGACGAUCGGUAGCUGGUCUGAGAGGACGACCAGCCACACUGGGACUGAGCCACGACCCGGACUCCUACGGGAGGCAGAGGUGGGGAAUUUUGGAGAAUGGGGGCAAGCCUGAUCCAGCAAUGCCGCGUGCAGGAAGAAGGCCUUCGGGUUGUAAACUGCUUUUGUACGGAACGAAACGGUCUGGGUUAAUACCCUGGGCUAAUGACGGUACCGUAAGAAUAAGCACCGGCUAACUACGUGCCAGCAGCCGCCGUAAUAC
rnacentral:rRNA from 1 species